rnacentral:rRNA from 1 species
GAUGAACGCUGGCGGCGUGCCUAAUACAUGCAAGUCGAGCGAACGGACGAUAAGCUUGCUUCUCUGAUGUUAGCGGCGGACGGGUGAGUAACACGUGUAUAACCUACCUAUAAUACUGGUAUAACUUCGGGAAACCGUAGCUAAUACCGGAUAAUAUUUUGAACCGCAUGGUUCAAAAGUGAAAGACGGUCUUGCUGUCACUUAUAGAUGGAUCCGCGCUGCAUGAGCUAGUUGGUAAGGUAACGGCUUACCAAGGCAACGAUGCAUAGCCGACCUGAGAGGGGGAUCGGCCACACUGGAAGUGAAACAGGGUCAAGAGGACUACGGGAGGCAGCAGUAGGGAAUCGUAGGCAAUGGGCGAAAGCCUGACGGAGCAACGCGGAGUGAGUGAUGAAGGUCUUCGGAUCGUAAAACUCUGUUAUUAGGGAAGAACAUAUGUGUAAGUAACUGUGCACAUAUUGACGGUACCUAAUAAGAAAGCAACGGCUAACUACGUG